CGGCGAGUGAAGCGGCAACAGCUCAAAUUUGAAAUCUGGCGCAAGCCCGAGUUGUAAUUUGCAGAGGAUGCUUUUGGUGCGGUGCCUUCUGAGUUCCCUGGAACGGGACGCCGGAGAGGGUGAGAGCCCCGUACAGUUGGACACCAAGCCUUUGUAAAGCUCCUUCGACGAGUCGAGUAGUUUGGGAAUGCUGCUCAAAAUGGGAGGUAAAUGCCUUCUAAAGCUAAAUACCGGCCAGAGACCGAUAGCGCACAAGUAGAGUGAUCGAAAGAUGAAAAGCACUUUGAAAAGAGGGUUAAAAAGUACGUGAAAUUGUUGAAAGGGAAGCGCUCGUGACCAGACUUGCGCCCGGCGGAUCAUCCGGCCUUCUGGCCGGUGCACUCCGCCGGGCUCAGGCCAGCAUCGGUUCUUCCGGGGGGACAAAAGCGGUGGGAACGUAGCUCCUCCGGGAGUGUUAUAGCCCGCCGCAGAAUACCCCCGGGGGGACCGAGGACCGCGCUUCGGCAAGGAUGCUGGCGUAAUGGUCACCAGCGAC
rnacentral:rRNA from 1 species